rnacentral:tRNA from 1 species
CCAAACAUGUAAACUAAUCUCUACCUUUGUUA